CCUACGGGAGGCAGCAGUGAGGAAUAUUGGUCAAUGGACGCAAGUCUGAACCAGCCAUGCCGCGUGCAGGAAGACGGCUCUAUGAUUUGUAAACUGCUUUUGUACGAGGGUAAACGGAGAUACGUGUAUCUGUGUGAAAGUAUCGUACGAAUAAGGGACGGCUAACUCCGGUCCAGCAGCCGCGGUAAUACGGAGGGUUCAAGCGUUAUCUGGAUUGAUUGGGUUUAAAGGGUGCGUAGGCGGUCGGAUAAGUUAGAGGUGAAAUCACGAGGCUCAACUUCGGAAUUGCCUCUGAUACUGUGCGGCUAGAGAGUAGUUGCGGUAGUCGGAAUGCAUGGUGUAGCGGUGAAAGGCUCAGAGAUC
rnacentral:rRNA from 1 species